UGAUCACUCUUUUAGUUUUUCUUAAGAGUCAUAGCUUUGUUCAAUUUGUGUGAAACUUUGAAGGUUUAUGAAUUUUACGCUAGAAGCCUAGUAGGUAAUUGUGUGUAUCUCUUUCACAUAUCUGUAGUAUUAUAUUAUUCUCGUACUUUCUUAUACUUAGAUUUUUUGUAUUACCGAUUAUUUCUUUUGCUUUGAUUAUCUUAUUAUCUUGAUGUUGUUCCCAUUUUUUGUUACUGCUUCUUUUUUAUUACUAUAUCCAUUACUGCAUUUCAUUUCAACAAUACUGUGAAUCUGUAAUUAUACUUUCACUGAGCCGAGGGUCUAUUGAAAACAACUUCUUUAUCUUCAUACGGCAAGGGUAAAGGUAAGAUAUAUGUACACAUUACCCUCCCCACAUCUUAGAGAUUAUAUUGAAUUUAUUGUUAUAAUUAUGGUAGGGGAUUAAAAAAUUAGCCUAAAGUAUUGUUGUAUUUUAGUCCAUGCUGGAAGUUUUUUAGCCAACCUCAGGAAAAAAAGUAGGUUUUGUCUUAUCUGCGAAGUAUAAUGUUCCGAGAAAAUGAAUUAAAUUAAAUCCCUUCAGACCAUGUAAUUAGACUCAUGCACCCUGUGGUUUUUAUAAAUUUAAACUAUAAAUUUGCCUCUGAUACAUCUUAUUCAUCAUGUUAUUUUAUUUCACUAUCGGUAACGAUACAACGCAUGCACACACAUUAUUCCAAAAGUAAAUGCAUUAUAUAAUGAACUCUAACGAAUUUCAAAUGCAAAUAAUUCAGAAUUAAUGAUCAAGGGAGCCCCAAAAUAAAUGAAAACAAAAACCAGUGCUUUUAGUUCAAAUGCAAAAUCCUAAAGAAAACAAAAACUAGUUUUAUUGGGUAGAAUAGACUAGUGAGAUUCUUUGGCUUUGGUCCAAAAAUGCCAAUUUGCAAAGUCAUUAAAAAUUAGUCAUUGAUUUGCUGAAAUACAGAAAGUUCAAGCAUAUUAUGCUGGAUUAUGGAGUUCUUGCAUAUAAAUUUCUAGCUUAUUAUGAUGGAACUCCAACACGGAAAAUUCUAGCAUAAUAUGCUCGAUUAUGAAGUUCCUCCAUUUAAACUUCCUAAAUAUUAUGUUGGAACUCCAACAUAUUAUACUAGAAUCUCAUAUAUAUAAUAAUUUGAGCACCAAUAUAUUAUGCGGGAAUUUUCCGGAUUUUAAGAGUGUUUUUGUUCAAAUUAUUAUUUACAUAAAAAAGUAGCAAAAUUUUGAUUACUUUUAAAAUUAUGGCUAUUUUUCAAUUACCAAUCGUAAAUAUAGCUAUUUCUAGUUUUUUCUAUAUAACUCACAUACACCAUUCUAUAAAUAUCAGUGUUCGCUCUUCAAUCUGACUAAUUAAUAACGCACAUAAGUAUGAUAUAUUAGGCUAUGUUCAGGGGCGAACCCAUAUUGGUUCAAGUGAGUUCAGCUAAACUCACUUCAUAAAUGUCUUUUAUUAUAUUUAUAUAAAAAUUAUUUCUGAAAGAAACGAACUGUAUAAAGCUAAAACAGUUGAAUCCCCUUCAACAAAGAUGUGCCUUGGUCUGAUGCUUCAGCCGGGUUCAAUUUUUGUAAAUUGUACGUUCAAGUCCAAAUUUAAGCAAUUUUUAUUUCUCUCUCAUUUUCAAAAUGUUGAAGGGCAUUCAUUCGGCCUGCAGUUUUCUUAUUGAUAAGAACCAGAUAAGAAAUUUGAUAUACAUCCUCAAGAACUUAGAGAUCAACAAGUCUUCCCAACUCUUCAGAGUCAAAGGAACAACAAAAGGAACAUAUAGCUAUAAAUCCUGAGGAAACUGUACAGGUCAACUGCCCCAGAUAUAAAGUUGUUGCCUGCACACGCUACAGUACAGAAAUAGAGCAGCAGUCAACUACAUGGGGAAUGCCCUUUACCUAACUUGCUUACACAUUCAAAGAAUAUCACAAAUAACUUAUUAAUAUUAAGCAAGGUAAAACAAAUCACUUGCAUACAAAAGAAUUGAUCAAGCAUACUCUCAAGUCAUCCAUCAAUCUUGCAAGUGACUUUAAGGGGAAUCAAGAGCAAAGAACAACGUAGCAACAGACCAGUUUCCCUUAUUGAGUUAUUAUAUAUCCUUAGUUGAGUUGUACCUUUGUUGAAGCUUUUUACUUGUAAUUCCUACUUAGCUUAGUUAGAAGCAUUGCGUAGGAAACCCUUGUAAAUUAAAAACACUUUUGUUUAUGUCUUGGCUAGAGUUAGUCGAGUUGUAAAAUUUUUGUAAUAGAGUUAUUACAAAGUGGCUUGUAAAAGAGUGUUACUAGUUAGUAAGGGAUUAAGAGGUUAAUUCCUAGGUUACAAUUGAUUGUAAUCUAAAGUUGCUCAGUAGUGAAGUUGAAAUCCUACAAGGGUAGGUCGUGGUCUUUUUAUCCCGUGAGCUGAGAAUUUUC
rnacentral:lncRNA from 1 species